rnacentral:rRNA from 1 species
GACGAACGCUGGCGGCGUGCCUAAUACAUGCAAGUAGAACGCUGAAGGAGGAGCUUGCUUCUCCGGAUGAGUUGCGAACGGGUGAGUAACGCGUAGGUAACCUGCCUGGUAGCGGGGGAUAACUAUUGGAAACGAUAGCUAAUACCGCAUAAGAGUAGAUGUUGCAUGACAUUUGCUUAAAAGGUGCAAUUGCAUCACUACCAGAUGGACCUGCGUUGUAUUAGCUAGUUGGUGGGGUAACGGCUUACCAAGGCGACGAUACAUAGCCGACCUGAGAGGGUGAUCGGCCACACUGGGACUGAGACACGGCCCAGACUCCUACGGGAGGCAGCAGUAGGGAAUCUUCGGCAAUGGACGGAAGUCUGACCGAGCAACGCCGCGUGAGUGAAGAAGGUUUUCGGAUCGUAAAGCUCUGUUGUAAGGGAAGAACGAGUGUGAGAGUGGAAAGUUCACACUGUGACGGUAUCUUACCAGAAAGGGACGGCUAACUACGU